CGACUCAAGGUCAGAAGGUCCAUCGCAGCCAGCACUACGUCACAACGCCUGCGCCACCCACCUGCGUCAUCCACCUGCGUCAUGUCACGCGGCCGCCAUUUUCCGUCUCUCAUCCUCACGCGAAGAGGGGUGAGUACGGCACGUGAGAGGUUUUCGGAGAGGGAGAGAGACUGCAUUCUCAUAACUUAAUUUAAAAAAAAAAAAAGAUUUAUUUAUUUAUGAGAGACCCAGAGAGAGAGAGAGAGGCAGAGGCACAGAGGAGAGAAGCAGGCUCCAUGCAGGGAGCCCGACGCGGGCCUCCAUCCGGGCCUCCAGGAUCACGCCCUGGGCCGGAGGCAAAGAGGCUCAACCGCGGAGCCACCGGGCGUCCCUCUCAGGGCUGUAAUCGAGGCAGGCGCCCCCCGGAGACCCCGUGGUUUGGGGCCGGCCCGGCGAUAAAGCUGAACAUCGCCUUCCGGCGCGUCAGACGAGUUCUUCGAUUUCCCGGUGCACGUGAGAGGCAUGUUCACACUCUACUGUAGUCUGCUGAGUGCGCAGUACUGUGAUAUCCAAAAAAAAAAAAAAAAAGUCCACACCUUCAUUGAACAAUGCUUUCCCGCUAAGCAAUGCUAAUCAUCAUCAGAGGUCUGGGCGGGUCGUAACCACUGGUCCGUAGAUCAACCGUAACAGAUAGAACAAUCAGGAAAAGGCCUGAAAGGUGGCGAGAUCACCAAAACGUGACACGGACGCGAAGCGAGCAAAUGCUGUUGGAAAAAUGGCACCGAUGGACUUGCUCAGACCUUGCGUUUGUAAAAACAACAACAACAACAACAACAACAACAAAAACCCGAAAAACAAAACAACCAAAUGCGUAUCAGCGAAGUGCAAUAAAGCGAAGCGCAAUAAAACGAGGAGCUGAGAGGAAUUCUCUUCUGCUUGGUGCAUUGUGGGAAGAAUCCCUGCAGAAACCAAGCAGUACUCUCAAGCAUAUGAAGGCUCAGUGCCUGUUUGUACCAGCUGCCAUUUUGACAGUUGUUCUUAAAUGCAUCAAGCUCCUGCAAUUUAGCCAGUAGUUCUCUGGCUAUGGAAGCUCUAGGUUUGGCGAUUCCACAUCUUUACGUGCCAAUAGCAUCUCAGGAGUGGAACCAAGAAAAAUCUUCAUACCUAGUCAAGCCUACGAUGGGGUGGGAGACAGUUGAGACACCGCUCAUGCACAAAGCAACCAAUCAAAUCAACAAAUCAAGGGGAGAGAGAACACACCAGAGAGCACAAGCAGGGGGAACAGCAGAGGGAGAGGGAUGCGGGGCUUGAUCCCAGGACCCUGGGAUCAUGACCUGAGCCAAAGGCAGAGGCUUAACUGACUGAGCCACCCAAGUGCCCGUGAAGGCUCCUUUUUAAAUGGAACGCCAUUUUUGCUCAUGGCCUGAUCUCAUCCUUUCAGAAAAUGAGGAACCAAUAAAGAUUUAUGAACAUAUGCUGGAGUUAUUCUUGAAAUAUUCAGGUAUGAAUGAAGUCACACAUUUGUCUGGCUCAUUACUCCUACCUACAAAAUUCAUGACCUUGGGUCCCCCUGCAAAAUUUCCUACUUACACUAGGACUCCUGGGAUGCUCUGAGAGACAGUGAAUAAACACACUUGUACUUGCUGAUGGACCUUGGAUAUUUGUUGUGUGUCUUGCUGCUCUCCCCAGUGUCCUGCUCAGUGCCACCAUGCGCCAGUAUACUGCUCUACUGUGGGUGGAGUGGCUUAAAAGCUGGAGGCUGAAAUCAUCUGAAGCCUUGAUCACUCAAGCCCUUGAUACUGUCAGCUUAGACCUUAGAUGGAGCUGUUGGAAGGAAUGUAUACUAUGACCUCUUCAUGUUGCUGGGUUCUCAAGUAUUGACUACAGGAUUCAAUUUGGUCCGGCAGGUGCUGGGUAACGGGAAGCCUGCUAAGAGCAGCUGUGUUAACAGCAUCCCUCUCGAGAAAGGAUUCUCUGUGGAGAGUGAAGAAAGAGGGAGAAGAAGAUAGAGACGAAGAAGGAAAGGGGGGGGGAUCAACAACUUGCACACACAUCCACAUCCCUGUGUGCUGCUGCUGCUGCCGCCGCCACGGCGGCUGCUUGGAUGCGUCUAAGAUGGCACCUUGGUGCCCUGCCACAUUCGGUCUCCUUGGUACCGAAGCGGCGCUCGGCUUCUUGUCACUGAGUGGAUGAUGAUUAUCUGCACCAGGGUCUCAAGGGUGCUCAAGCUUUGCUGGCGAUUGGAGCUGAGAUGCUUCAGCUGAAGGAUUUUAAAAGCUGUACAAGGCCAAAGAACCAUUACCAGUCACUUGCUGUGUGAUGCCUGUUGAAGAGGGGAAGAUGGGGAGCAAAGUGUGACCUACUACAGCCACGCUGACUGAUUAGUCUCUUGGUGAGCAGCAUGGUGGAGGGCUCCAAACACCUGUCCUACAAGCAGGUUUAAAAUACUCCUACAGCCUGAAUUCAUGGAGUGAUGCAAAGAGCACCGGCCUCCUGAAGGAGCAGAUUUGGGUGUAGAGUUGGCUCCACAGCCUCUGAGAUUCUGCAGUCUUGUUUACAUCCCUUGUCCUCUUUGACCUUCGGUUUCUGCACCUGUCAAAAGGGGAAAUGGAUUUGCUACUUACCAGGUGCUAGAUUCCUUUUUUCUUUGGCCCUCAAGGAGAUUUCAUCCUGCAAAAGGAAGCAAUGAUGCCUCUCCCCAGGACUUUGUUUUUUCUGAUUCUUCCCAGUUUCAUCUUACUUGAGGUGUGAUCUCAUGGGACUCAGGGACAGAAUUACCUUUAACUUUCCAUCGCUCUCAGAUUCUUUGACAAUUAAACAGGCUACAUCUGGCUAUCCUAAAAGUUAGGCACUUGAGGAAUGGGCUUUGAAAAGAUCCACACUGUAUGUGCCUGGUUGUGUUUGUUUUUUAGGUAUGUGUUUGGGGAGAGAAGGGAGGGUCUAGGGGAGAACUACUUGAGCAACUGGACAAGUGCUUGUUACAGGAGAAGUCUGAGAGGGAAAUUAAUGGUGAGUAUUUACUCAUAAAAUAAUUCUGGUUAUCUCAGGAGAGGCAACCCUGGGCUUAGUGAUUUAGGGAAGAGUGUCUUUAGCUGUCUUGGCACUGUGGCCUUAGUAAGGGGUAUGGUGAAAGGAAGACUAGAAUGUGCCAGGAAGGCUGAAUGUCUUUAUUAUGGCCAGUCAGUGUGAUUUUGAGCAACCCAUUUCAGGCUGCUUUGUCUCAUUUUCUGUAUCUGUCAGAUGGGGCUUAAUAAUUAUUCUAUUUACUUCAAGGGUUUAUUUUGAGUCAUGAGUUUUGAAACAAUGCUCAAGCUGUUUGAAAAUUAGUAAACUUGUGGUAAGCUUGCUAUACCACUAAAGGAAACAGACCCUUUGUCUUGCCAAAAUACACCGGACCUGUACCACAGUUUUGGGAAUCCAAGCCUUGGAAUCCUUGUUUGGAUACUCCUAACAGCAAGUGAAUCAGACCCCUCUCCUCAAAUGCAUCAGGGAAAGCCCCUUGGACAAGUUCUCAGAUGAUUUUGGUUUCGCUAAAUGCUAUUUUGAGGUAGCUACUGAUCUCGUACCUCAGUGGGAUUUGAAGUGUGACUGAAGAGGAUUUAGGAUAUUUAUGUACAAGCUGGUUUAACUUAGCAGAGAAGGAAUAUCUGGAUAAGUUUUUUUUUUUUUUUUUUUUAGAUUUUUAUUUAUUCAUGAGAGACACAGAGAGAGGCAGAGACAUAGGCAGAGGGAGAAGCAGGCUCCCUAUAGGGAGCCUGACGCAGGACUCAAUUCCGGGACUCUGGGAUCAUGCCCUGAGCCAAAGGCAGACACUUAACCAUUGAGCCACCCAGAUUCUUCUGGAUAAAAAUUGAGAGUAGAAAAUUAUUGAACAUGCAUUUCUCCACAGUGACCUCAGUAUCUCUACUCAGGUGAAUAAACAGAAUGUGUCACAUACAUAAUAAGAUACAUAAUUCACAUUGCACUUGAGAGUUUCCAGUGUGCCUUUUACACACAUUAUCUCAUCCAUUUAUAUAUUAUCUCCCUGUGGGCAAAAACAGACUUUUUGCUUCUUUGUACACCACUGGGGAGGAGGGUAGGCUCCAGAAUGGGUGACUGAGCAACCAGACACAGCUCACACCCUCCCUUUCUGUGUACUUGUAUUUGACCAUCUGGGCAACACCAAACUCCUUUGCUCCUCACUCUACCCCAUUAAAAAUACUUAUUGGAAAAAAAAAAUACUUAUUGGUUUUUAUUAUUGGUGGUUAUGUUGAACUUAGUACUUUUCUUAUACCAUUGCUUAUUGGACCGUUGAAUGGAGGGCAGACAUUUUUGUAUCUUUUGUUCAUCAUCUUAUUCUCCAUAUUGAGAAUAUUGCACAUAAAGAUACUCAAGAAAUAGUUAAUUAGUGAAUAAGUGAAUUGUUCUUCAUAGCUUAGUCCUAUAUUCUCAACUAGAUUCUAAUAACUGUGAGGGCAGGGACAAUAUCUUCAUUUCCCUCAGUGUUCCUGGCACAGUGCUCAAGAACUUGGAUGUUAGUGAUCUCAUCUAUGUGAAAGGAUCCAUACAUGCACAUGGAAAUAUGUUAUAAACAGGUAGAUGUGGCUGCUCAAGGACCUUCAUGGGCUAAAGGCACUCUUAGUUUUGGAAGCCUCACCCCACGUUAUGUUAAUCAUUAAAAUGCA